AGUGAACGCUGGCGGUAGGCCUAACACAUGCAAGUCGAACGGCAGCACCUUAGGAGCUUGCUCUUACGGGUGGCGAGUGGAGGACGGGUGAAGAAUACAUCGGAAUCUACUUUUUCGUGGGGGAUAACGUAGGGAAACUUACGCUACUACCGCAUACGACCUACGGGUGAAAACAGGGGAUCUUCGGACAUUACGCAAUUGAAUAGGCCGAUGUCGGAUUAGCUAGUCGGCGGGGUAAAGGCCCACCAAGGCGACGAUCCGUAGCUGUUCUGAGAGGAUGACGAGCCACACUGGAACUGAACCACGCUCCAGCCUCCUACGGGAGGCAGCAUUGGGGAAUAUUCGACAAUGGGCGCAAGCCUGAUCCAGCCAUACCGGGUGGGUGAAGAAGGCUUCCGGGUGUUAAAGCCUUUUGGUUGGGAAAGAAAAGCAGCAGGUUAAUACCACGCUGUUCUGACGGUACUCAAAGAAUAAGCACCGGCUAACUUCGUG
rnacentral:rRNA from 1 species